UACGUAGGGACCAAGCGUUGUUCGGAUUUACUGGGCGUAAAGGGCGCGUAGGCGGCGUGGUAAGUCACUUGUGAAAUCUCUGAGCUUAACUCAGAACGGUCAAGUGAUACUGCUGUGCUAGAGUGCGGAAGGGCAAUCGGAAUUCUUGGUGUAGCGGUGGAAUGCGUAGAGAUCCGGAAGAACACCGGUGGCGAAGGCGGUCUGCUGGGCCAAGACUGACGCUGAGGCGCGACAGCGUGGGGAGCAAACAGG
rnacentral:rRNA from 1 species